UUCUGCAAAAUGAAACCAUCUGUUUAUCCACAAAGUAGGUGUAGCACAGGCAGCAGCAGUGCAAGUUUUCCUACCAACGGGCCUCAGUGUUUGAGAGGGAGCUCAGGGUUUACAAGGCUGUAAGAUAUUAUUAAUUACAAUGGGGAUGCAUGUCUGCU
ensembl:misc_RNA